rnacentral:rRNA from 1 species
UAUCUCUGUAGAGUCUGCAUAUCAAUAAGCGGAGGAAAAGAAACUAACUAGGAUUCCCUCAGUAACGGCGAGUGAAGCGGGAAGAGCUCAAAUUUGAAAUCUUCAAGGUUCUACCUUGACGAAUUGUAGUUUAAAGAAGUGUUUUCUGUUGGAGUUUUGGUAAAAGUUCUUUGGAAUAGGACAUCAUAGAGGGUGAGAAUCCCGUAUUUGACCAGUUAUUUCCAGCUGUGUGAUACACUUUCAAAGAGUCGGAUUGUUUGGGAAUGCAGUCCAAAAUGGGUGGUAAAUUUCAUCUAAAGCUAAAUACUGGCGAGAGACCGAUAGCGAACAAGUACCGUGAGGGAAAGAUGAAAAGAACUUUGAAAAGAGAGUUAAACAGUACGUGAAAUUGUCAAAAGGGAAGCGUUUGACACCAGUGUUGUUUUCUCGAAAAUCAAUUACAAAUGGCUUGAUUCUGUGUUGUAUUGACCUUAUCAGCUUUCUUCACUUUUUUCGAGUCUUUCUUAAUGCACUUUUCGGUUAACAAGUCAACAUCAAUUUCUUUUGUUGUAAAAGAGUAUUCGGAAGGUGGCUUUCUUUUCGGAGAAAGUGUUUAUAGCCCUAUACUUCUACAAUCGGAGAGAUUGAGGUCUGCAGCGUAGAUCCUUCGGGGUUAGAUACAUUUGUGCUAAGUUGUAGCUUUUCAUAGACAACUUGUUGACUAUGUUUAGUCAUGCGGCUUACUCGCUUAUGCUAUUUUACCUACGCUUAGGAUGUUGAAGAUGUAGCACAUCAU